UGGACACACAGUUCAACAUGAUGGACUAUAGGACAGGACUGCUGCUUUUAACUGUCUGCUGGGCAGGUGUUGAUGGUCAGACUCUGACAGAAUCUGAACCAGUGGUUAAAAGACCUGGAGAAUCUCACAGAUUGACCUGUACAGCCUCUGGAUUAUCAAUUAGUGGCUACACUAUGGUCUGGGUCAGACAGGCUCCUGGAAAAGGGCUGGAGUGGGUUUCUGCUAUCAGCAGUGGUAGCAGCACUUACUACUCCCAGUCAGUCCAAGGCCAGUUUACCAUCUCCAGAGACAACAGCAGACAGCAGGUGUAUCUGCAGAUGAACAGUCUGAAGACUGAAGAUUCUGCUGUUUAUUAUUGUGCUCGACACUCACAGUGACUGGUGUUGGUUGAGCAGCUGCACAAA